UCAUGGNGAAUGUUNGGACUUCGGUCCGGGCGAGUAGCUUUUGUUUUAAACCCAUUUCACAAUUUCUGAUUAUACUGUGGGGACGAAAGUCUCUGNUUUUAACUAGAUAGCAACUUUCAGCAGUGGAUGUNUAGGCUCGCACAUCGAUGAAGAACGCUGCGAACUGCGAUACGUAAUGCGAAUUGCAGGAUUCAGUGAGUCAUCGAAAUUUUGAACGCAUAUUGCACUUCCGGGUUAGUCCUGGGAGUAUGCCUGUAUCAGUGUCCGUACAUCAAACUUGGCUUUCUUCCUUCCGUGUAGUCGGUGGAGGAUGUGCCAGAUGUGAAGUGUCUUGCGUGUUGUCCUUCGGGUCGACUGCGAGUCCUUUUAAAUGUACUGAACUGUACUUCUCUUUGCUCGAAAAGCGUGGUGUUGCUGGUUGUGGAGGCUGCCUGCGUGGCCAGUCGGCGACCGGUUUGUCUGCUGCGGCGUUUUAAGGAGGAGUGUUCGAUUCGCGGUAUGGUUGGCUUCGGCUGAACAGGCGCUUAUUGAAUGCUUUUCCUGCUGUGGCGUGAUGGGCUGGUGAACCGUAGCUGUGUUUGGCUUGGCUUUUGAAUCGGUUUUGCUGUUGCGAAGUAGAGUGGCGGNUUCGGCUGU
rnacentral:rRNA from 1 species